rnacentral:tRNA from 5 species
GCCCCCGUAGCUCAGUGGAUAGAGCAGUAGGUUUCUAACCUAUUGGCCGCAGGUUCAAUUCCUGCCGGGGGUACCA